rnacentral:rRNA from 1 species
AUUGAACGCUGGCGGCAGGCCUAACACAUGCAAGUCGAACGAGUGGCGGACGGGUGAGUAAUGUCUGGGAAACUGCCCGAUGGAGGGGGAUAACUACUGGAAACGGUAGCUAAUACCGCAUACCAUCGGAUGUGCCCAGAUGGGAUUAGCUAGUAGGUGGGGUAACGGCUCACCUAGGCGACGAUCCCUAGCUGGUCUGAGAGGAUGACCAGCCACACUGGAAAUGAGACACGGUCCAGACUCCUACGGGAGGCAGAAGUGGGUAAUAUUGCACAAGGGGCGCAAGCCUGAUGCAGCCAUGCCGCGUGGAUGAAGAAGGCCUUCGGGUUGUAAAGCACUUUCAGCGAGGAGGCGUUACUCGAAGAAGAAGCACCGGCUAACUACGUGCCAGCAGCCGCGGUAAUUC